rnacentral:lncRNA from 1 species
CGGAGCCGAUUUUAAAAGUUUUUUUAUAAGGAAUAUUAUUUAGAAACCAGAGUUGUGAAAAAUAUGCCUUUUUUUUUUCAACCUGGCCCACGUGACAUACAGACCCGCUACAAAUACAAAGUUACUCUGGCCACAUGGACAGAGUCUCCUUUGUAUUUGUACGGCGUACCAACAAUAAUAUCAUGAUCACAACAACAACUUACAUUCACCAAUCGACAAACAAUUCAUGUGAUGCAUUUUCAUAUAACUAGCGAUCUUUAGGGAUGAUGCAUGCCUCUAAACACUUCUUAGGCACUGGAUGAUGCGAUACACAAUACAACAAUCAUUCUAUUUAAAAGUGCUCCCUACCCGAAAGCGUUGUUUUUAAACUCUAUUUAAUCAUUCAUAAAAAUCAUUCGAAAACCUUUUAAAACUAUUUCCCACUUGGAAAUUUCAUUUUGAAAACCGAUUACCUCAAAGAGUAGAAAACCACGAUGCAUAAAUACGUAAAUCCAAAACCAAACAUCCAUAAAUCUCCAAUCGCAUGCAUAAUGGAAAACAUUAACUCAUACAAGUUCACAAAUACUCAAACAUUUAUAGUGAUCAUCUAACUGAACCAUUUAAUUAUUAAAAUUACUAAAUGCGGAAUGAAAAAAUAAUCAGGAUGACGGUCGCUACUGCAGUCUAGCUAAAACGUCCUCCUAUCGCGCCUUAAAGCCAACUCCUUGCCCGAACCACUUGAAAAAAUGGAGGGUAAGAAACCACAAUCAAGGCUUCUCAGUGGGUACGACAGAGCCACGAAAGCAAAUCGUAUUCACUGAAAAACAAAGGAGAUAGAACAAACUAAUAUAUGUGUAAAGAUAUGAAGAACAACUAUAGUAGCUAUAACAACAAAUAUAAUAGAGAGCAAGUAGUAAGAACUGCUACUGUAAGAAUACAAUACUGAGCAUGUCUCAAAGUAAUCAAACCAAAACUGUACCCAAUCUGGUACCUGUCAUAUUGGUCCGCAGACCUUUUGCCUGUCACAUUGCAUACACCGACCUAAUUCAUGCGUCCACUGGACGACCCAUCGGAAUAAGUACACCCCUGGUCGGUGGCCAAACCGACCUGGUGUCAAUGAAUACACCCAAGUGCUGUGACUAAAUCAUACUGAUAUGCUCAAUAUGAAAACCGGCAGAAAGCCGGUGCCUUGGUCGAAGCCAGAUACAAGGGCGUACAACGCUGAACCACGAUCAACUAGAUCGAAAUACACGACAAAGGAGUCAAUGUGUUGCCUGGACCAAAGGUUCACAGAUAUGCAAUAUAUGCAAGCCUACUCUACAUGUCUAUCAAUAACUAUCACUAUGCAAGCAACAAGUAUAGAUGAACGAAUGAUAAGCAAAAGCAACCGACAUGUAGAGACUACAAUACAGAUAUAGAAGAGUAGAGAAAAGCGAAACGAUCUCACCGACUACCAGCUCGAAACACCCUCCUGUCACAAUCGCGUCGGAAACCUGGGUGCGCAACAAGUCAACCGGACCUACGAAGAUCCACCGGGUCAGUAACCAACCCACCAAUCUAAAAUACCCAACUCACAAACCCCACACAAAUCCCCAAAAUUGGUUUCAUAAAAUCAAUCAUCGUAACUCGCUGAAAGUCCCGAAAAUCACAUCGUGACGCCGUCGGGACCUACUAAGUGUCACGAAACUCACUGACUCGUGCCACGAGUCACCCACUAACACAAAACACAUCGAUUUAGAUGUCUUGGCAGCAAACACAAGAAUACACAACCAAACAAUUAUCGCCAGAUAGUUGUUCGGAUCUGGAUUUCUAGAAGUGUCAAUUUCGAUAUCGGAACCCACUGUCGCUCACCUGUCAUCUCCGAACUCACGAUAUGACGAGAUGACUAGCCGACAAGGCUUAGCGACACGACUCAAGGCAAACACACACCGUCGAAUAAAAUCCGUACCGAAAUCGCAUUCCGCCGACGAAUUUUAUCGAAAAACGCACCGAAAUUGACAUUCGAUUUCCGCGAAGGCUAACGGACCUCGGACGAUCAGUCUAGAGAUCAACUACCACACGUACGUAUUGCCCACAGUAGCCACAAAAUACAAAAUUGUAGCACACUGAACUUUAGCAAAUUGCAAGGUUCUAGUGUAAGAAUAGUAUUUUAAACUAUUUGGAUGUUUUGAGGGUUGUUUGUGUGGUAUCUGCCUGUUUCUGGAGCAUAUUAGGCGCGAGAACGGGCUUCCGGCAUCAAAAUUUGCAAAGUGCAGAUUUUAGAGCCGAGUACCGGUAUUGGAGAUUGGUACCGGAACCUCAUUGCAUGCCAGAGAGUAGCUGCUCUCGGGUUUAAGGCUUGGGGCAUUAAGUACCGGUACUAGAUGUUGAGUACCUGUGACACCCCAAUAAUUCCAGAUCAUAUGGGGAUGGGAUUAUCAUUGGGUUUAUAAGAGACUUAGACACUAGUAAUAAUAACUGGGCUUAAGCAUUGUGGGCCGGUGGUUGGGCCCAACGAGUUAUUGUUGCUAGUGGGCUGGGUCGUUAUAUUUGGUAUCAGAGCCGAUUCACCAGCUGGACAUUUAUGGCGAGUCUCGACUGAGCCAGGGUCUGGAUGACGGGCUAGCGAGACGAGUCUCACAUUGCCUGGUGAUCUUGGGCUGUGUGUGUGAUUGGACUUACGAGGACGUCAGGGCCUUAACGGGGGGAGUCUGUGACACCCCAAUAAUCCCACAUCGGAUGGGAAUGGGGUUGUUAUUGGGUUUAUAAGAGACUUAGACACUAGUAAUAAUAACUGGGCUUAAGCAUUUUGGGCCGGUGGUUGGGCCGAACGAGUUAUUGUUGCUAGUAGGCUGGGUCGUUACAGUAUCGGUACUGAAGUCGGGUACCGGUACUGCAUUGCGCGGGUACCGAUACAUCGUAUUAAACCUGAAUGUGUUGCGCUUGGGUUUUGUCUCGCUGAGGGCCGGGUACCGGUACUCCAAUACGAGUAUCGAUACUCAAUGCAGAAAACUGCAGUUAGUGCAGUUUGUAAUUUCUGGGCUUUGAGGGGCUUGGGUGGAUAUUGUUACAUGAUGUAUAAGUAACCCUUCACCCCCCUUUUAUCCUCAGUUGGCUGAGGCUUGAGAGAGAUAGAAGAGGUGAGUUCUUUCUCUCUUGAUUUUCUUUUCUAAACUCCUUGAUUUUGGGUUUUGAUCUUUAUUUUCUUCCUCUCCACCAUGGUCGCUUACACCUUGGAGCUUGGGGCUGAUGAGAGGAGCUUGUUGGUGGAUUAAACUUCAACCCUAGCAUUUCAUGGCUUGAGUUGAAGCUUGUUCGGAGGUUAGUAUCUUUCUCAUGCUCUCUAUUUAAGAGAUUUUUAAGAGAUUUGGAAGAAAACCUAGUUUUUGGAAAACUAGGAUUUGUUUUGGGGUUUUUCGAUUUUGAGCUUUUGGGAUGAAAUUGAUGAGUGUAGAACACUCUUGUAGAUUGGAUUUGAAGCUUCUUAGCUUCGAUUUAGAUCUUGGACAAGUUCUACUUGAUCGAAGGUAAUUUUCACCUAUUUUACACUUGAUUUUUUGUGAAUUUCAUGGAUAGCUUUUUAGAAGCUGAUAAUUCUUUGGAAAUUUUUCUUAGAGUGCUAGAAGACUUGUGGACAACUUCGUUUGGUGAAACGAACAAGUUCAGACGUGAUCUGGUGGGUUUGACCUAACCGAAAUGGGUGAACUCUCUCUAUGUCUCCUAUAAUGUUAUAGGGCAUAAAUUAUUGCAUAAUCAUACUAUUCAUGUCAUGAUAGAAUUUUCGGAUACUUGAUAUACAUAUGUUAUGUAUGAUACCUUGCAUAUUCUAUGUAGUAGAGACGAUUUGACAUAUAUGAAAUUGGCAUACUCUAUUUAGUAGAGGUUAGUUGACAACUCGUUGUAGUAAAACAUAUUGUAGUAUGUGUGGAACUAAGUUCCUCUUAUGCAAUAAGGACAUGCAUGCUAGAGAUGAGUAAUAUUGGUAUAUGAAACACUAUAUGGCUAGUGGAACUAGAGAAGUUAAAUCUUGAGUGUUAUAACUCGUGAUCGUCAUAGAUAAUGGCGAAUGUGAACUUUUGCAUGAUAGUGACAUGAUAUAGAGCUUUGUAGCACUUAAGUUAGCUGCAUAAUUCGUGAACAUUAUGAUAUACUUGACCCUUAUGUCGAUAAAUGUAAUUCCAUGUUUUAGAUAUGACGAAAGAGUUUUUAUGCAUUCGGAUAUGUAGUAGCAAAAGUAUAUGUUUGCAUAAUUAAAUGUGGGCUAAAUUAUUUGCACGAAAAUCUUAUACUCCAUGAAGUGGAGGCUCAUGUAGUGAGGCAUUCGCAUGACAUUGAUAAACUACCCCUUCAUACUAGUGGAAAUAGUACAUGUUGGUAUACAAGUGUAGCCCGUUAGGAUCAUGAAUGAAAUAUAACCAUCCUUAAUAGGAUAAUCGAAAUGUGGACUUUAGUAUGCUUGAGACAUGCGAUAUAUUGGUAGAGUCAUACCGCUGAGUUAAUUGAUCAUAAACCUUGACAUUUAUGCACAGUAUCCAACCUUGAGUCAUUGCUUGAGAUUUCAUAUUUUAAACAUGAUGAUUGAGGCCGAUUGCCUCGGAUUUGACACUUAUGAUCACGCUUGCUUGCCAUUGUGCUCAUUCGCAUAAGCUUGUGAGGGUCGCUCCCUACGAGCCUGCACUCCGGAGUUAGCCUUUGCGACAACAUGCUCGCCCGUGCGGGAUUGGGUGCCGUAGUGGGAUGCCGUGGGGGAGGCUCAUUCCUAGCGGGGGAAUGUUGACUACCACGGGGCCACUAGGCACGACACAAGUCGGGACGUUACCACGUGUAAGUCCCUCGUUGAUUGGGUAAAGUUAAUUAAAUUGGAUACUAGUUGAUACAUACCUAAUAGAUGGACAUACUAGUGGUUUGUUACUUUAUAUUAGUACUUGAUGCAUUCAUAGUAGUUGGACAUUCUUGUGGGACAUUGUUGCAUUGUCAACCUUAGUGGUAGCAAACCUACAUUCAUGAUGUUUAAUAUAGAAUUGUAGUAUCAUGAUGAUAAUAGCUAGUUAAUGUCAAUGACAAGUAAGACUUAUUCUAUAACAAUUGUUUAUAGUUUAAAGGUGGACUAGCAUUCAUACUUUGCAUAUACGAAUAAUUGUGCAUGUGUUAGUAGGAGAUUAUAUACAUGUUAAUUGACAUAUCAUAUAGAGGCAUGACUAUUAUUGAAUUUUUUUCAAUUAUUGGUUAGCUCAUGUUCAAUACUUCUCGUAUUAUAUGAUUCAUGCCUCAAUUGACUUAGUGGUGUAUUUCGCCACUCUUGGCAUCUUACCCAAUAGAAACUAUUGUUUAAUAGUUCUCACCCUCAUUAGUUGAUUGUUUUUGUUUCAGAGCCUUCCACAGCGGGUAAGGCUAGGGAUCGUGGCAGGGGGACAGCAACUAGCUACAGCCUCACGAUGUUGUGAUAGAUGUACCCAUAGAAAUUCUCUCCUUGGUUUAGUUCAAGGACGUAUAGUUGUACAUUAUCUGAGAUAUCCUUGUAUUCUUGAUGUACUUAUUGAUCAGAUUAUUGUACUCUUGCUUGAAAUUUAUGUACCUAGUUGUUUUAUGUUCUCGCUCUGAUUACCAUGUUUAGGAUGGAUUACACUUCUUUCUAUGAUUGUCGUAGACGCCUGGUGUACAUCGGGGUUGUUGGUGUGCACGGUGGAUCUGGACACGCACACGGCGGGUUUUCAUUGUGACCCGGGGCGUGACAGAUUAUGUUGGUAUCAGAGCCUAGGGUUGAGUCUUAGUGGACCUAGUAAACUUUAUGCCGGUUGAACAAUAAGAAGUAGGAUCGUGAGAGACGGGGUCUUUUGUGACUUGUUGGCGAAAGUAACAUGAUUGGGUCAUGUCUUUAACUCCAAAAGUGUUGGAGUUAGAUUGAAGUGAACAACUUCUAUGUCCUUGGAGAGUCACGUUGGCGGCCGACAACGCGACAUCGAGGAAUAGUAGAAGUCACUUCACUACUUUUGCAUGAUUGAGAGGUUGGUGCCUUUGAGUGAAUGUGGGUUGUCUUAACCCAUGUCUGUUAUGUUUGUUGCUUGUUGUGGCUCUGGAUGCUGAAGACACACUCCGUGGCGGCCGAGGUGGCCGAGCCGGGGAGGUCUGCAACUCCUGGAUCUGGAGAGGUCCGGAAGUUGAGAGCAGCUAACUGUUUUGGUUUUGUUUGUGGCAUUAUUCCAAGUCGAGACUUUGUGCCGACAGAACGAGAGAAUCAAACAGCCGGAAGACAUGUGGAUUCAGUAGGCAACUGACUUCGGUAAAUUUCUUGAGACUUCGGAUCAUGCCUUAACAGAGGAGAAAGGCAUGAAGACUAUUGGGACCGUGAAGGAAGCCACUAAGAGUGGUAGACUAAGUGUAAGUAAACUACCAAGAUGUUCAAAUAAAGGGAAUUGACUUUGAGGACAUGGAUCCUCCUCUGGGAGAGGAACAGCUUAGCGUCAACAGCAAUUACAAUGUGUGAACCGUGAAAGCCUGCAUGUGCCCCCACAGUACGCUCAGCGUGGAGGAAGAUGUUUCUUUGGCAGCCAGGCGGGUCAUCUUCGAUUGGAGCGUUCGAAGAAUUGGAUGCUAGCAGCAUUGGUACUGACCUCAUCAUGGAGAGUACCUAGCAGAUGUAAACCUUUUGAUCAGAUGAUGGAGGAUUUGACAGCUGAGGAGGUUGUCGCGGGUAUUACUUUAUGUGUGAUACCUGGGUCUAAUCAUUAUCUUUAAGGAUGUAUUGUUUGUGUUCCUUGAUCGGCUGUUUGCCGAGUUGUUGGACGUUGGAUCUUUCCCUUAGAUUGCUUGUAGGGAGAUGUUGGCCCGAUUGUAUUUUAAUUAAUCGGGAAAGCUAUCUUGAUGCUCUUUUAGAGCUGAAGAUUUUUGUGUACCAACGAAUUGAUUGGCUUUGGUUGAUUGAGAGUGGUUGUAGUGUUGCUCGGGCACGUGAGGUACUAUGUUACCGUGGGUUGUGUGAGCCGAAUUGUACAUCUUGGGAUCUUGGGCACGAAAUAGUGUGUUUUGAGAGUAUAGGUUCGCUGUUUGCGACGACUGCUUCAUCACCCGACCCAAGAUGAUGUUGAGAGGAUUGUGGCCUUCUUGGCCAAUGACUCUGGAUUGAUUCAGAACCCUCAAAAAGGAGAGUAUCUCAAUAGUGGAGUUGCUAAUGCGUUCACGAUAGAGUCAUGUGUAUUGAAGACUCGACUGCGGGACCUUUUUGUGAAGGCCUCAAUGUACCUAGUGUUUUGCCCUCGGGAGCAUCGAUCUCUUUGCCUUGAGAUUGGAUGGGUUGCUUCAACUAUGUGUCAACCAUCGUGAGUUCAAUAAGGUCAUGAUUUGGUACAAGUACCUAUUGCUGUGGAUCGAUGGUCUAUUUGAUCAACUCCGAGAAUUCUAGGUAUACCUGAGGAUUGUAAUGCAAUCUGUGAUCAGCACUGACCAGCGAUCACCAUGCUCACCUCCGGAGGCAUCGGAACAACCUCGGAUCGCCAGAAAAGCAAGAACAAACUAGAACUGCAACAAAAAACCCUUAACUAAGCUUACCGGAGAAGUGGGAGCUAGGGCACGGCCAGCGGCGGGCGCGCUGGUGGCUGACGGGUGCGGCCGACGGGGGAGGGCCGGGGCUCGCACCGGCCGGCGGCGGACUUCCUUUUUGGCUUUUUUUUUUUUUUGUUUUUUUUUUUUUUUUUGGCUCGGGCAGGCAUGGGCAUCCCGUUCCGCAACGGGUCAGGGCGGUAUAGUAGCAGCAGCCACGGCAACCGACGGCAGGGCUCCCAGGGGCGACGGCGGGGCUCCUAGGGGUAACGGCAAUGGGUUGCGAGAGGCCGAGAGAAGGCGGCGCAGUCGACCCCAGGCGGCGGCGGCCCCAGGGGAAGGCUUUGCUGCACCCUCGGCCCGAGCUGGACCAGGCCGGUAGUAGCUACCAAGGGCGGUAGUGGCGGUGCGCGCGAGCGGCGAUGAUCGGCGAGGGAGUCGCCAGAGGCCCGAGGAGGGCGGCACGGCCGGCCCAAGGUGGCGGCAGUGCGUGGGCCACCGACUACACAAGUCUCGGCCGAGCUAACCAAGCUUGGCUGCGGAUUGCCCAACCUGCAACGGCGGCGCACGGGAACGGCAGGGGACCGGCGGGGGAGUCGCCGGAGGUCAGAGCCGCUGCCAGAGGGGGCACCCGAGGGUGAGGAUCACCCUGGGUAGUCCACAGAUAGAGGUGGUGGUGGUGUUGGAGGAGAGGGAGGCAAUGCAGCUUAUUCCAGGAGCCGGAGGUGCGCGCCGGCGGUCGGGGUGCGCGCUGCGAGGGCAGGGGAUGGAGAUAGAGGUGGCUGGGGGCGCAGCUGGGGUUAGGGUUAGGGUUCGCAUGGUGUAAACCCUAGAAUGCUAAAACGCACGAACACACCCCCAUAUUCGAUUUCACACAAAACGGUACAUAAAAUGUAGGGCUUAUCGCAAAAUUACCAUUUUGCCAUUUACGACCCCUCCUCGAACAACGCGCGAUAUUAGGAGAUUCGUCCGUCAGAUUUGCGAAUGGAUCAUACCAGUGCGAUCAGCACGACAAAGACAUCAAACUCACAAUUUUGUUCUUCUUGGUUUGGUGGCAAAUUCACAACAAAACCCAUCCUCUUUCCAACUGGCAAAACCACGUACACACAAAUACAUAAAAUAUAUGUAUCUCCAGUUUCUUGAAAUCCGAGCGCCAAACCUGAAAUCCGUCAACGCCAUUGGAUCCACGACAGUCGAACCAUUGAAAACGAGCUAUUGGUUCACUAUGAACAAAGUUCGAUACGCGCCGAAAGCCAUCUCUACUCAUUGGCUUCUCCGAAAACCUGGGUUACUAUUCACUUUAAUGAAAAGUAAAGAUCGCGUAAAUCUCCAUUCUAACUCGUUUUCUCCCGAAACUUGACGAGUGCUUUUGUGAUUAAAAUACACACAAAACAUCAUCAAUAGAGAGUUUAGCUACACUGCCAAAAUCUCAGUCCUUACAUAUAUAUAUAUAUAUAUAGAACUAGGCUAAUAUACUAUUAAUAGCACCAAGUUAUUCGUGCUAACAACUUUUUGGCCAUUGGAUUAAGAGAUGUGCGGUUAGGAUGAUGUGGGCCCCCUAGGGUUGAGUGGGUGGUUGGUUGAAUAGUAUGAUCUAACGGGUGAAAGUGAUCAAAAGGGUAGAUCUAACGGCAGAAAACUUGGUAGCACCAAGUACUUCGUGCUAUUAAUAGCAUAAUAGCCGGACUCUCUCUCUCUCUCUCUCUCUAUAUAUAUAUAAUUUCGGUUUAUAAUUUUCUUUUGUGACUCGUUCUUCAAGAAGUCUAUAUUGAAAUUAUGUAUAACAUCUAAUUUAGUUAUUUUUUGUACUACUAAUUAAUUUAUUUAUUCAUGAUUAUAAAGUCGUGUGUUUAGUUUAAUUUUUACGGUAUAAUUUUUACGUUAUUGCUGUAAACACACAUAAGGUGAUCAUAAAAAUAAAAUUUAUAGUAGGAUAUAUAGAAUUCAUACAAUUUAUAAUUUUUGAGUCACAUAAGGUUGUUAAGAAAAUUACUCUGGACUUUUAUUCUUUUCCGCUGCAUUUUGGAAAANGUCGUGUGUUUAGUUUAAUUUUUACGGUAUAAUUUUUACGUUAUUGCUCUAAACACACAUAAGGUGAUCAUAAAAAUAAAAUUUAGAGUAGGACAUAUAGAAUUCAUACAAUUUAUAAUUUUUGAGUCACAUAAGGUUGUUAAGAAAAUUACUCUGGACUUUUAUUCUUUUCCGCUGCAUUUUGGAAUAACGUGUAAUUUUUGGUUAUUCAAUAUCAUAUAAAGAUUAAUGUGAGAUUAACUAUGUUUAGGAGUAGCCACAACAUUCUAGUCAUGGUAUAUGAUCAAUUACGAUAUUUUUUUUAAGAUGAUAUUGAAUUAAAGUUAACUCAAAAAUUCAUAUGAAUUCUCAAUUUAUUUUUAAAUAGUCAUUCAAUAUCAAAUAAGGUUAUUUGUAUUUUUCAUUAUGCUUAAAAGUAGCCACAGCAUCAGCAUCCUAUAGAUAAUUAAUGAAGAAUAUAUAAGAAUUUACUGAUAUUGAAUUAAAGAUUGGCUAUUUAUUGCAGUCAAAUAAAUAAUAAUUUUCUGAAUUUUGACUGGAAUUGUAUAGUGUAUUGAAUUUCUAGAUAACGAGUUUUCUUAUACCUACAAAUACCGAAAUCUCGUUGUUUAGAAAUUAGUUUUUCUCUAGUCUUAUUAUUAAAGGAGAUAAAUUCUAUGCGUGUAGCACCUUUGCCUACAGGAAGGUAAAAUUUAUCUAAUCUAAAAAUUGUUAUCUUAUAGUAGGCGAUAAAAGUUAUAUAUUUUUUUUAUUUUUGCCGCUUCUUCCUCUAUUGCAUUUCUUAAUAAUGUUUCUCGUAUCCCUAUGCUUACUGGGGACAAUUAUUCUGAUUGGAAAGAAAUUAUUUCUUUUACUUUGGGCCAUAUGGAUUUAGACUUGGCUCUGCGCGUUGACCAACCGCCUAAGGUAGUAGGGCUAAUGACUCCACAGCAGAAAUCUGCGCAGGAAAAGUAGGAGCGAUCCAACUGCUUAAGCUUGAUGCUCAUAAAGUUUAGAGUAUCAAAAAGUAUAAGAAGAUCAAUCCCAGAAUGUGAUAAAGCCAAGAAUUAUCUAAAGGCCAUUGAGGAGCAGUUUGUCAACUCCGAUAAAGCUUUGACGAGUACGCUGAUGAAGCGACUUUCAGGCAUCAGGUACAAUGGAGCAAAGGGUGUGCGCGAGCAUAUCAUGGAGAUGCGAAACAUAGCAUCUCAACUAAAGGCUUUAAAAGUUCAGAUCUUCGACACCUUCUUAGUCCAUCAAUUCUAAACUCAUUACCAUCUGAGUUUGACCCCUUUAAGAUCUCCUAUAACACACAUAAGGAUGAAUGAUCAAUAAAUGAAUUAUUGACCAUGUGUGUUCAAGAAAAGGGGAGAGUUAAGCAGGAGAAGUCGGGAACUAUAACAGAAUCUGUUAAUCUAGCAACUCAGUGCAAAAAGGGAAAGAGUAAGAGUGCCUUUAAUUACAAGACGUCAGCUCAGUUGCCAAUAAAGAAUUCUAGCAAAAAAGAUCAAUGCUAUUUCUAUAAAAAGAAAUGGCACAUGAAAAUGGACUGCUUGAAGUAUAAAACUUGGCUCGAGAAGAAAGUUAUUAAAACUAUCUAUAUUUGUUAUAAAUCUCAUUUAAUUAAUGUUUCUAAAAACACAUGGUGGAUUGACUCUGGAACUACUGUACAUAUCUCAAAUACCAUGCAGGAUUUUCACAAUCUACAAAUAUUGAAGCCAAAUGAAAGAAUUUUAAUUAGCGGAGAAGGAAAUAAAUCUCAAGUUGAAGUCGUAGGAAACUUUAUUUUAGAACUUUGUACUGGUUUUGUACUUGAACUUGAGGAUACUUUUUAUGUUUCUAAAUUUUCUAGAAAUUUAGUUUCUGUUUCUCAAUUGAGAAAUAAAGGUUUCAAAUUUUUAUUUGAAAAUGAAUCUUUUACUAUGUUCUGCGAUAAUGUUAUUGUUGGCAAUGGUUGUUUGAUAGAUGAUUUGUAAAAGAUUUAAAUUGAGUCAAUCUUUUGAGAAUAAUUUUAAUAUUGAUUAUGAGAUUGGUGUUAAAAGGAACAUUCUUAAAGAAAACUCCUCUUAUUUAUAACACAAGCAUUUAGCUCAUCUCUUUAGAGAGAAUAAAGAGAUUGGUAAAAUAAGGAUCUUACAAGAUCUUGACUUUACCGAUUUUGGUACAUGUGUGGAAUGCAUAAAGAGAAAGCAUACUAACACAAAUACCACUAAAUGUGCUAGGAGGAGUUCUGAAAUUCUUGAGAUCAUACAUACAGAUAUCUUUGGACCUUUUUUUACUCCUUGUUUCAAUGGUCAGAGAUAUUUUAUCUCAUUUAUUGAUGACCAUUCAAGAUACAUGUAUUUCUAUCUCUUAUUUGAAAAGGCUGAGACUCUUGAUGCUUUCAAAGCUUACAAAGUUGAGAUAGAGAAACAAUUGGAUAGGAAGCUUCUAUCUUCUCUUUGGAGUGAAGUAUUAAAGACGGCGGUGUAUAAUUUAAAUAGAUUCCAUUAAAGGUUAUUUUCAAAACUCCAUUUAAGUUAUGAAAAUGGUGAAAAUCUAGUUUAAAUCACCUGCAUAUAUAGGGAUGUCCUGCUGAGGUGAAGAUUUAUAACUCACAUAUAAAGAAGUUAGACCCUCGAACAGUCAGUAGAUAUUUCAUUGGCUAUGCAGUAAACUCCAAAGAAUUCAGAUUCUAUUGUCCAAAUCACUCAUCCAAAAUAGUUGAGGCCAGAAAUGCCAAAUUUCUUGAGGAUUAUGAGACAAGUGUGAGUGUUAUUCCUCAAAAGAUGAAUUUUGAGAAAAUAAGAGAUUCAACUCGUUAUCCAUCAACAGAUAAUAAUCUAGUUGCUCUUCCAAGAGGUUAAUUUGACCAUAAUGGAGAUCAACUAAUCUUGAAGCAUGAAAAUGCUGAACCAGUUGAACCUCCCUAUGAAGAGCUGUUCCAAGAGGAACAGAUAAUUAUAGAACCAGCUGCACAGAAUAAUGAAAAUCUAUAGAAAGAUAUUGGCUUAAGAAGAUCCUCAAGACAAAAGAGACCAGAAAUUCCUGAUGAUUAUGUAGUCUAUUUUCAGGAGUCUGAUUUUGAUGUCGCACACCAUAAAGACCCAUGAAUGUUUUCAGAGGCUAUGCAGGGAGAAAAAUCCUCCCUAUGGUAUGAUGCCAUGAAGGAAGAGAUGAAAUUUAUGGCGGAUAACAAAGUUUGGGAUCUCAUUGAGUUACCACAAGGAGUCAAAGUCAUUGGCUGUAAAUGGGUCUUCAAGACCAAAAGAGACCCUUUAGAUAAUAUAGAACGAUAUAAGGCCAGACUUUUUGCCAAAGGUUUCAGUCAAAAAAAAGGCAUUGAUUAUCAUGAAAUCUUCUCUCCAGUAUCAAAGAAGGAUUCAUUAAAAAUUAUCAUGACUUUAGUAGCUUAUUUUGAUUUUGAGUUACAUCAGAUGGAUGUGAAAACGACAUUUCUAAAUGGGGAUAUAAAGAAGAUAGUCUAUAUACAACAGCCCGAAGGUUUUAGUAUAGAUGAAAAUAAUCAUCUUGUUUACAGACUAAAGAAAUCUAUAUACAAAUUUAAACAGACUUCCCGUCAGUGGUAUAUCAAGUUCCAUAAUGUAAUUACUACAUUUAGUUUCGUAGAAAAUAUUAUGGACCAGUGUAUAUACCUCAAGAUUAGUGGGAGUAAGUAUAUUUUCUUAGUCCUGUAUGUAGAUGACUUUCUGCUUGCAAGUAGUGAUUUAAGUUUGCUUAAAGAGAUCAAAAACUUUUUUUCUAAGAACUUUGAAAUGAAGGAUAUGGGUGAAACUUCUUAUGUCAUUGGCAUAAAGAUUCACAGAAAUAGAUUUCAAAAGAUUUUGGGUCUAUCUUAGAAAGCCUACAUCGAAAGAGUUCUAGAAAGAUUUAAUAUGGCAAAUUGUGUACCUACAGCUACGCCUAUUAUAAAAGGCGACAAAUUCAAUAAGAAACAGUGUCCUCAUAAUAAUUUAUAACGAGAGCAUAUGAAGAGCAUACCCUAUGUCUCUGCAGUAGAGAGCUUGAUGUAUGCGUGGGUCUGUACCAGACCUGAUAUAGCUCAUGCAGUGGGGAUAUUGGGUAGAUACGUACCAAAGCAAUCCUGGCCUUGAUUAUUGAAAAGCUGCAAAGAAGGUUAUGAGGUAUUUACAAAGAACAAAGGAUUAUAUGCUCACCUACAGACAUUCUGACCAUCUUGAGGUGGUUGGAUAUUCGGACUAUGAUUUUGCUGGAUGCGUGGAUUCUAGAAAGUCCACAUCAGGAUAUAUUUUCUUACUUGCUCAAAAUGCUAUAUCUUGGAGGAGCAGUAAGCAAGAUACAGUUGUUACAUCCACUAUGGAGGCAGAGUUUAUUACUUGCCAUGAAACUUCGUCACAGGCUUUAUAGCUGAGAACUUUUAUCUCAGAUUUAAAAGUUGUCGACUCUAUCUCAAAGCCAAUUAAGAUUUAUUGCGACAACUCUGCUACAAUGUUCUUUGCCAAGAAUAGUCGAAUUACAGAUCACAGCAAACAUAUCGAUAUAAAGUAUCUUGCUGUGAAAUAAUACGAUAAGAAGAAGGUGGAUAUCCAACACAUUUGGACCGAGAUGAUGAUUGCUGAUCCUAUGACUAAAGCAUUGCCGGCAAAUAAAUUCAAGAAUCAUAUUCAUCAUAUAUGUACAGUUUAAGUAUUUUCUUCUUAUAUAAAGACUUUAAAGACUAUUUUUAUUUGAAUAAGAACACAAUUUGGUUUUUGUACAUAUGUGCAUAAAGUUAUUUUUUGUACAUUAAAGUAUUAUUGUGCACUAAAGUGGGACUGUAAGUUGAACUUAUAAUAAGUUCAUAUGGUUGUAACUCAUAAAGUUAUUUGAUUAAGGAAUACGUACUUUUAAUACAUAGAAGGGAAUGUUCAUCUUUUGGGACAUAACCGCUAUGAUCAAAGUAUUGUGAUUUCUUGGUCGAGUGGGAGAUUUUGACUGUAUAAUUUAGUUGGUACGUAAUAAAGUUUUUGUAUUGCCUAUACGGUAAUGAAUAUAUUACUAGACCAAGAAGGAGAAUGUUGGAUGUGGCCCACGUGAUUUAUUCAAGACGAUCUAUAAAAAUACAGUCGGUCUAUUCAAGUCGAUCUAUAAAGAUAUGGUAGAUCUAACGGUUAGGAUGUAUCUGGACAUGUCCUUGAUGGACGGACGUGAUUUAACAUCCUUACAUUAAGUUAUAUAUAAAUAUGUAACAAACAGGAGUCCCGGUCUAAUCCUAAUCUAAAUUUUCUGUGACGGCUCCAUCUCCGAGGAUAAGUGAAUUAGACUCGAAACGUCCCGUUUUCUUGCAGAUCGCGAACGAGAACGAACCACGAGCAAAAAUCACGCCUACAAAUUGGGUACAGAAAUCGAAAUCAUGGCAGAAGGUACGAUCUUAGUUUUUUAUAAAGUUUCAACAAAAAGUAUAUAGGGAUAUACUUCUGCGUUCUCCGAUGGAACUAUAGAAAAUAUAUCGUAACUGACUCAUCGCGAUAUGCGGAAUGCAAUAUUACAUACGGAAAUAAACAGGAUAUUUUUCUAUCAUAUUUUCUGACCACACGUAACGCAAUCUCCUCGCAAUCCCAAAUGAAGCCUAAGUAAACUUCAGAAAAGUAAUUUGAUUGGUUGAGAAUAGCACAUCGCUCAUAUGACGGUUAGAUUUUAGACUUUUUUAUUUACCGGGGAGAAUUGAUGGAGAAAUAAAGGUGAGGACUGGAUUUGAUCGACAUGAUUUGGAUAAAUUACACUAUUAAUGCUGGCUAAAUUAGUAAAGUUCAAAUUGUUUUGAGAAAUGCUUUGGGUUAGGGUAAAAUGAUAGUGCUUAUAAUUUAAUAUUGAUGUUUAAAAUUUAGUUAUUAAUAUUUAGAAUAUAAUAAUGAUAUAUGAAAUGUCAUCAAUAUUAUUAUAGGGUAUCUUCUAGAUUGUCUGAAGCAGCACUCAUUUAUUUUAACUAAAUUACUAAGUUUAAAAAUUUUAAUCAAAUUACUAAUUUGUUAAUUUAUAUUGUUUUAGAAAAAGUAAAGUUAUAACCUAUUCAAUUAUCAUAUCAUUCCUUAUGAUAGAGAAUAUGGCUCUUAAUUCAUCUUUCGAGGUGGUAUUACUACUAAUGCAGUUAUCAUAUAUACUAGUGUAGUAACCCGUGCGAUACAACGGGCAAAUAAUUAGAAAAGAAUUAAAAAUAUUAAUGAUAUAUCUUUUCAUGAAUUUUUAAAUAAUUUAUAUUUGAUUGGUUAUAAAUUAUUCAAACAUGUAGACAAUCUAUAUGUAUGAGUCAACGAUUUAAAAAUAAAUAAAGACAUUACAUGUUUAUUAAAUAUAUUUUAUCAUCAUAUUUUAUAUCAAUAUUAAUAAUAAAUUAAAAUAAAUAUCAGUUUUUUUCCCCUAAAAAAGUCCUUAAUGAGAAUUUUUAUAAAAACAAAGAAAAGAGAAAAUGGGCAUAGAUUUGAGUGAGCUCGGUUCAAGCAAGAAAGAAGGCACCGGUUCAGUUCAAGCAAAGAAAAAUAAAUCUUGUUCAGUUCAAGUAAAAAAAGAAGAGAACUUGAGCUAGUUCAGGGUGGAGCUCUUAUUCAACAAUUAUUCGUUCAGUUUAGAUAAAUUAAAAGAGUGGUUCAAAGAUAGAAAUAUAUAGAGCAAUUGGUUUAGUUCGAUCUAAUGAAGUAAGUUGAUCUGGUUCAGCAUUAUUGGUUCGAUUCAGAUAAUUAAAAAAGAAAUCUAGUUCAAAGAUGAAAAUAUAUAGAAUAAUUGAUUCGGUCCAAUGAAGCAAGUUGAUCAUGUUCGGUUCAAGCACAAACAAAGAAAAAUUAUAUAAUUAUUUGAAGAACUUGAUCGGUUCAAGGUGGCACCCAACUACCCAGUUUUGUUCAAACAAAGAAAAUGAAAUUGGUUGAGCCCACAUUUAAUUUAACAAAGAAAAAGAAUGAUGCCAUGUGGCAAAAUUUAAGAGAAAUAAUGUAUAGGUAUAGAGGUAUAGGUAUAGAUAUAGAUAUAGACAGAUAUAGAUAAUAAUAAUAAUAAUAACAAAGAAGAGAACCCAGUUCGGUUCAAGCCGAAAAAAGCAAAAUUUGAGCCGGUUCAAACAUGUUGACCCCAAAUACGAAGAAGAGGAAACCCGGUUCGGUUCAAACCAAAAAAAAAAAAAAGUAAAACUCUAGCUGGUUCAGGCAUGUUGACCCGGUUCAAUAAAAAAAGAUAGAAAUAUAUGGAGAACUUGAGCCGGUUCUUGUUGGCACGCACACUAAACAAUCCGGUUCGGUUCAAGUAAGUAAAGAUAAAACUUUGUGAAGGAUUUGAGCCGGUUCGGAUUGGUGCCUAGAGUACCCAACAACCCGGUUCAAGAUUAUGAGAAAAACCAAAGAAAGAAAAUGACGCCACGUGGCAAGAUUAUGAGGAAUAAUGAUAAGGAAUAGAUAGAUUUGAGCCGGUUCGGAUUGGUGCCCAGAGUACCCAACAACCUGGUUCAAGAUUAUGAGAAAAACUAAAGAAAGGAAAUGACGCCACGUGGUAAGAUUAUGAGGAAUAAUGAUAAGGAAUAGAUUAUUUCUUAAAGAUAACAUGCCAAUUAACUUGUGGGCUUUUUUUGUGCAUUUAGCUCUCUCAGAAUUUUUUUUUUCAUAAAUAGCCUCACAAAAUUUAUAUUUGCAAGAUUGUCUCUAUCCUCGCUAUGUGGGUGUGGCGAUAGCUUAAGUUGAACAUGGUGAAUCAUUCACCGUAAACCAUAAACUCCAAAUAUUACGUAAUACCAUGAUAGGAAAAUAAUGGAACACGGUAAAUCAUUAACCGUGUCAUGUUCAAUUUAAUCUUCGCCUCCAUUCACACUCGCGUCGCGCUUACGUGGUAGGGACAGGGCCAAUCUUAUAAAUAUAAAUUUUGUAGGACUAUUUAUAGAUUUUUUUUUUGUAAGGGCUAAAUACAAAAAAAAAGUUCUUAACUUAUCUUUUGGAAGUUGAAUUUACUACAAUAUCAUUGUCACGUCCCAGGGUCCCUUUUUCAUUUAAAACCAAUGCGGAAGUGCCCAAAAUUUUUUUUUUUUUUUUGAAAAUCCUGACCCCCAGUGUAACGUAUUGAAAUCCAGAAGAAAUUGUUGAACUUUAGCCAAAUUGACUAAAAUAUGCGAAAAAGAUGGAUGGACGAGUUGCUUUUAGCAUUCCAACAAUGUUGUAAGGGCUAAAAAUGAGUUAAAGAGAUGUUAGAAAGGUUUUAGCAUUGAACGGCGCGAAACAGAAUCGAAAACGGCGCAAAACUGCAUUUUGGAGCAAAGUGUACCGAUACAACCAUCGAGUUGUCACCGGUACAGCAUUGCAAGCCGAGAAGGAGAAGCUCUCGGGUUUGAGAAAAUUUGCAUGUGUUACCGGUGACACCCCUGGUGUGUACUGGUACACUUUGGUAAAACCUGCGAGAAUUGUUCUCGGGUUUGCCUCUGCAUAAUCGUGUUACCGGUGACAGCAUCCCGUGUACUGAUACACUUUGGCCUGGCAGCAACUUAGAAGUCUGCUGCAAAUGCAAAUGUUUGGGGGGCUAGUUGUAAUUGUUACAACAUGUAAUAUACCCCAACCCCCCUCUCCUUCACAGCCAACGGCCCAUCACCCUUCUCCCUCAUUUCUCUCUUUCUCUCUCUAGAGAACUUGGCCUAGAGCUUGGAGGAGAAGGCUUGGAGGCUUAGAAAAUGUGAUUUUGGUGGCUUUGGUGGUUCUAGGGGCUCUCCAUCAAGGUGGAUUUGCGUGAGCUCGUGGCCAAGGUGAGUUUCUUGCAAGUAGAGCUCUAGGGUUAGGAUUCUUACCUUAGGUUUUGGAGUUUUGGUCUCUUUAGAGGCUUUAGAAGUAUAGUAGAGCCCUGAACACCAUGAAAACAUGGUUUUCUCAAGGUGCUCUCAUGGUGGAUUGCUAGAAUCCAAAGUUGAUGCCCUAGGAAUGGUUCUAGAGGCUUGGUAAUAGUAUUAGAGAGCUUUCUAGGUGAUUCUAAGCUAUCAUUUGCUUAGAGAUGAGAUCAAUCUAGGAGAAAUUUGAAUAUGGCAUUGUUAGGGCAUGAAUUUUGGGGAUUUUGCCUCCGGGUGUUUCCGAGGCAAAUUGACCUCUUGGAAACCUAAUUGGGGGUAUUCCCGACGCGUGGGACAACUCCGUUUAACGUUACGAAAAGGUUAAAUAAGAGAUCUUGUAUAUAGGGCCUAAUUUGGCUUUAUUUUGGGUUUAGGUCGCGGGAGAGGCGUCCUAAAAUCACGAGAGUUGAACUACAACCCAUCUACAAUAUUUAAGGUGGGGGGUGCACGCCGGAAUCAUCGGAUUCCCCUUUAUGUCUAUUUUACCUUUUAUUGAGCAUAUUGAUGUAUAGUCAUUCAUGCAUAGUAGGGUUAAAUUACAUGUAAACUUUGGUUUGAUUUUAUUUACAUGCUUCUAACGUAGUUGAACAUAGAGAAUGAUAGAACUAUAAUAGACAUGUAUGGUAGAACCCUAAAGUUGUAUGAAUGUGAGACUUGGACUUGGACAAUAGAAAACAAAAUAGAGACAUGAUUGACAUUGAGAAAUUGGUUGUUAAAUAUAGUUUAACCAUAGUGACAUUAUGACAAGUAUGACUUGGAAAGUAGCAUGAACAUAUAGGUAGAAACCUAUUAUGACAAUAGCGUUGUGACUAGUGGCUAUGUAUCCUCAAGCUGAGGAUUUGAUCGAUACUCACAUUAACUAGGCUUGACGAAGGUAGCUCCUCCUCAAGCGGUGUACUCCGGAGUGUAGACACCACGGGAAAAGUAUCCUGUUGACGGACCCUCGAGUGGUUUAGCCUAAAGCCUCCCACGGUAGACGGGAAUUAUGAUGGUGAGUUUUGGGGUUAACAAAUGUUAACUCGUUCAAUUGGGUAUGAGCCAAGAUAAACAUGGAAAAGCAUGCAUGCAUAUCAUCCUAUAUAUGAUUAUCUGUUAUUGACCAGUUUUCUUGCAGACAUAGUAUUAGCAUUAGUAUUGGUUACUUUUCCUUUUUUGAAAUACUUAUGCCUGAAUAGACCUAGUGGGUAAGUCGGCGAGGUCGGUUGCCUAACCCACUGGGAACUUCGUUGUAGUUCUCACACCACUAACCCUACAGGUCCGAGCGCGAGCGGGGCAGCGGAGGACCGAGGCAAGGGUAUUGCGCCAUAGCUAGUGGCCACCGGGACUGAUGCAUUUUUAGUCAUUCCUUUUGUACAUGUAUCAACUUUUCUUUGUUGAUUUAGAGAAAUGUAAAGUUAUAAACAAUCAUGUGUUUUGGUGGAAUGAUUAAGUUGUAUAAGAAUUAUAGUUGAAUGGAAAAAGAUAUAAUAGUUUUAGUUCACUUGUAUUUGGUUUAAAUCUAAUCAAAUAUCAUGUAUGGUUGUAUGUUUAGCUUAGAACUUUCGCUUUCGUUGUUAGUUGCCCUCGUGCAAGCCUUGUAUAAUUGCAAAAUCUCUAUGUUGUUUGUUUAAUUAUACAUGUUGUUUGAACCUUGGGCGGACAAGGAAGAUACUGUCCAUUCGGCGUCUGUUGACGUGACCCGAACCCGACCAAUUGGCGGGGAUUAGGGCGUGACACCCAGGGUAUGCUAGAUUCGCCACAAAUAUAAGACGUCAACUGUUCACACGGACAGAAUCUCCCCUGUAUUUGCACGGCGUCGCACAAGUACAAGAUAUACGAUAUAAGAUACAACCACCACAUAUGAAUAUCCACACAUCCAUACACCAUUCACAUUCACAUUCAAUACAUCACAAUUAUCUAUAAUUCCACAUCUAUCAGUUUAAAAUAUUUCCUACCCGGAAACUCGUUUAGAAAUACUAAUAACCAGGAAAAUCAAAAAAUUCUUUUAAAAACUGUUUCCCACACGGAAACCUUUUUUCUUUAAAACUCGCUACCACGAGAGGUAGAAAAUCAUGUUCAUUUUUGCAAGAAUCAUAAAUCCAUUAUUAUAUUCACGAAAUCCCAAUUAUUCAAUUAACAUCAAUUACUAAACCAUAAUUACUUUCUAAGUCAUUUAUUAAAAGGAACUGAGUUUAAGA